GUGGGGAAUAUUGGACAAUGGGCGCAAGCCUGAUCCAGCCAUGCCGCGUGUGUGAAGAAGGCCUUCGGGUUGUAAAGCACUUUUGUCCGGGAAGAAAUCUUCCAGGUUAAUACCCUGGGAGGCUGACGGUACCGGAAGAAUAAGCACCGGCUAACUUCGUGCCAGCAGCCGCGGUAAUACGAAGGGUGCAAGCGUUACUCGGAAUUACUGGGCGUAAAGCGUGCGUAGGUGGUUCGUUAAGUCUGCCGUGAAAGCCCCGGGCUCAACCUGGGAAUGGCGGUGGAUACUGGCGGGCUAGAGUGCGGUAGAGGGUGGUGGAAUUCCCGGUGUAGCAGUGAAAUGCGUAGAGAUCGGGAGGAACAUCUGUGGCGAAGGCGGCCACCUGGACCAGCACUGACACUGAGGCACGAAAACGCGGGGAGCAAACAGGAUUAGAUACCCGGGUAGUCC
rnacentral:rRNA from 1 species